rnacentral:tRNA from 1 species
GGAGGGGUCGCAUAGAGGCCUAGUGCGGGCGCCUGCUAAGCGCUUAUCCCUGUUAUGGGGAUCGUGGGUUCGAAUCCCACCCCCUCCGCCA